rnacentral:rRNA from 1 species
CCUGCCCUCCACUUCGGGAUAAGCCUUGGAAACGAGGUCUAAUACCGGAUACGAGCACUUACCGCAUGGUGGGUGUUGGAAAGUUUUUCGGUGGGGGAUGGGCUCGCGGCCUAUCAGCUUGUUGGUGGGGUAAUGGCCUACCAAGGCGUCGACGGGUAGCCGGCCUGAGAGGGCGACCGGCCACACUGGGACUGAGACACGGCCCAGACUCCUACGGGAGGCAGCAGUGGGGAAUAUUGCACAAUGGGCGAAAGCCUGAUGCAGCGACGCCACGUGAGGGAUGACGGCCUUCGGGUUGUAAACCUCUUUCAGCAGGGAAGAAGCGCAAGUGACGGUACCUGCAGAAGAAGCGCCGGCUAACUACGUGCCAGCAGCCGCGGUAAUACGUAGGGCGCAAGCGUUGUCCGGAAUUAUUGGGCGUAAAGAGCUCGUAGGCGGUCUGUCGCGUCUGGUGUGAAAUCCCAUGGCUCAACCAUGGGCUUGCAUCGGGUACGGGCAGACUAGAGUGCUGUAGGGGAGACUGGAAUUCCUGGUGUAGCGGUGGAAUGCGCAGAUAUCAGGAGGAACACCGAUGGCGAAGGCAGGUCUCUGGGCAGUUACUGACGCUGAGGAGCGAAAG